GCGCAGGGCCUCCGCCGGCCUUUUCGGUCCGCCAUGGUGGUUGGGGCGCAGCGGGCGGCGAGGCCCGGGAGUUUAAGAUGCAUCAACUGCACUUCCCUCUUACGGCUUCAAACCAGAUCUGCCACUGAAUAUGAGGACUUGAUGCUACUUCACAAGGCUUUGAAUUGUGUGCUUGGAAGACUUGGACAAGAAACAUGAACUGGCACUGGAAGAUGAAGCUGUAAGCUGUGCAAGGCUGCCCUAGAUGGAGGAUACUUGUGCCUUCAGUGUGAGAAGCUGUUUCAUCUGUUACCUAUACUGGUGAAGACAAGGCCUUCCUGAUUGAAGGCUUCCAAAGGGUUUCUCGCAAUGAUGGCUGGUGUGGUGGACCCUGUGAAGUGAUGCGGUUUGUGGUGCUACCUGCAAAAGGUGAAGCUCAUGGGGAUUUUGUGUGAGAAACAGGACUAACAGAUGUCUGAGGAAAGGACUGUGCUGUCUGCAACUUCAUUUGGGUAAGACCAUGUAUCAGAUAAAUUAUGUUUAAAAAAACCCUGGGAGUAUUUGUGACCACUGAUGAAACUUGAUUCUGCCAAAUGAAUUACAGUGAUAUCACAAUUUCCGUUCCACUUCUUUCUGAGGUUACAAAGCUGCUGUGGGAGCUUUUAGCAGUUGUGUUAUUGUAUAUGUUAACUGUGUUUUCUUGCUUUAGGUGAGGAGGCAACUUUGAAACUACUGUAUGAUGAACAGAGGAAGGUGAGUGUAACUCUAAUAAUAAACUUCAGUUGUUGGAACAAAUGAUGAUAACCUUAGCUUGAACUCUCUCACUGAACAGAGAUGAAAAUCUAAGGUCUGAGUUGUUCCCAGCAAGCUUCUUGUGCUGGUUUGGUGUGUCUUAUGGUGGUUCUUAUGUCUGUCUUAAUAGGUGGAAGAUUGCAGAAUAAUGGAUUACACUUCCAGGAACAGUGUUGGUAAAGUUUUUUACCAUGCUGGUAAUGCUUGCCUGGUACUGAUUGGAACUAAUAAAAAUAUAUAAACUCUA